AUGCACCGAUCCACACUCGUGCUAUAUAUCUGCACUCCCCGGCAAUGUGCAGCGCAGUGCAGUGUAGACUACUGGUGUUUGGGGGUAGAUCCAGCAGCUAGCAAAAGAGGAGCAGAGACGGCAAGAAGAAUGGCAUCCAAAACAGCGCUCGUGGCUGUGGCUCUGCUCGUACUUGUGGCCGGCGAUCUUGCUCAUGGCCACGCCGUGCCCCUCGGACGCGCAACUGCCCGGCGGAGCCUCGGCUGGAUGCAAGGCAUGAAGGGAGGGCCGCCCAGUGGCAUGCAGCCAUCAGAGACUGCCCGCCGCCGCGCCAUUUCUUGGGUGCAAAAAGGCGAGGAAAGCAGCUGGGCCGACGGUGGGGAGGAACGCAAGUUCAUCGCGCCUGUGCCAGGAUUCAAGCUCCCGCCCCUCCCUCCGAACGCUGCCUGA
rnacentral:rRNA from 1 species